rnacentral:rRNA from 1 species
GCAAGUCGAACGAUGAUUAUCUAGCUUGCUAGAUAUGAUUAGUGGCGGACGGGUGAGUAACAUUUAGGAAUCUGCCUAGUAGUGGGGGAUAGCUCGGGGAAACUCGAAUUAAUACCGCAUACGACCUACGGGUGAAAGGGGGCGCAAGCUCUUGCUAUUAGAUGAGCCUAAAUCAGAUUAGCUAGUUGGUGGGGUAAAGGCCCACCAAGGCGACGAUCUGUAACUGGUCUGAGAGGAUGAUCAGUCACACCGGAACUGAGACACGGUCCGGACUCCUACGGGAGGCAGCAGUGGGGAAUAUUGGACAAUGGGGGCAACCCUGAUCCAGCCAUGCCGCGUGUGUGAAGAAGGCCUUUUGGUUGUAAAGCACUUUAAGCAGGGAGGAGAGGCUAAUGGUUAAUACCCAUUAGAUUAGACGUUACCUGCAGAAUAAGCACCGGCUAACUCUGUGCCAGCAGCCGCGGUAAUACAGAGGGUGCGAGCGUUAAUCGGAAUUACUGGGCGUAAAGCGAGUGUAGGUGGCUCAUUAAGUCACAUGUGAAAUCCCCGGGCUUAACCUGGGAACUGCAUGUGAUACUGGUGGUGCUAGAAUAUGUGAGAGGGAAGUAGAAUUCCAGGUGUAGCGGUGAAAUGCGUAGAGAUCUGGAGGAAUACCGAUGGCGAAGGCAGCUUCCUGGCAUAAUAUUGACACUGAGAUUCGAAAGCGUGGGUAGCAAACAGGAUUAGAUACCCUGGUAGUCCACGCCGUAAACGAUGUCUACUAGCCGUUGGGGUCCUUGAGACUUUAGUGGCGCAGUUAACGCGAUAAGUAGACCGCCUGGGGAGUACGGCCGCAAGGUUAAAACUCAAAUGAAUUGACGGGGGCCCGCACAAGCGGUGGAGCAUGUGGUUUAAUUCGAUGCAACGCGAAGAACCUUACCUGGUCUUGACAUAGUGAGAAUCCUGCAG